rnacentral:rRNA from 1 species
UACGGGGGGGGCAAGCGUUGUUCGGAAUUACUGGGCGUAAAGGGCUCGUAGGCGGCCAACUAAGUCAGACGUGAAAUCCCCAGGCUCAACCUGGGAACUGCGUCUGAUACUGGAUGGCUUGAAUCCGGGAGAGGGAUGCAGAAUUCCAGGUGUAGCGGUGAAAUGCGUAGAUAUCAGGAAGAACACCAAUGGCGAAAGCAGCUCUCUGGGACGGUACUGACGCUGAGACGCGAAAGCGUGGGGAGCGAACAGG